rnacentral:rRNA from 1 species
UACGGAAGGCAGCAGUGGGGAAUAUUGCACAAUGGGCGCAAGCCUGAUGCAGCCAUGCCGCGUGUAUGAAAAAGGCCUUCGGGGUUGUAAAGUACUUUCAGUCGUGAGGAAGGUGUUAAGGUUAUAACCUUAGCAAUUGACGUUAGCGACAGAAGAAGCACCGGCUAACUCCGUGCCAGCAGCCGCGGUAAUACGGAGGGUGCGAGCGUUAAUCGGAAUUACUGGGCGUAAAGGGCACGCAGGCGGUUAAUUAAGUUGGAUGUGAAAUCCCCGGGCUUAACCUGGGAAUGGCAUUCAAGACUGGUUAGCUAGAGUCUUGUAGAGGGGGUAGAAUUCCAUGUGUAGCGGUGAAAUGCGUAGAGAUGUGGAGGAAUACCGGUGGCGAAGGCGGCCCCUGGACAAAGGCUGACGCUCAUGUGCGAAAGCGUGGGGAGCAAACGAGGGAUUAGAUACCC